AGAAUAGCUGGAAAUGUACUUUUCCGCUUGUAAUUUUCAAAAUUUUCUGCGGCGGCGGGAGGCAUAGCCAAUAUGCAGACCCCAUAGAUUACUACCUUUGCCACAGCGAACAAAAUGCAUGCACAUCUUCAAGUACAGUAGAAUAGUUUUUGUUUCAGCUCAUUUAUGUGGUGAAAUAAUUAUUGGGAACUAUAGUAGUCUGGCUUGAAAACAAGGGAUUGCUGCAUGCAUAUAUUUCUAGUUUGUUUGUCUUAUUUACUUCCUGGCCAUUUUUAUGUCCGC